rnacentral:pre_miRNA from 1 species
UAGAUACUCCCUCUGUCCGGAAAUACUUGUCCUAAAGAUGAAUGUAUCUAGACUUAUUUUAGUUAUAGAUACAUUCAAUAUAUCCAUUUUUAGGACAAGUAUUUCCGGACGGAGGGAGUAGUAU